rnacentral:misc_RNA from 1 species
AUGGAUCAUUACCAAAGGAUUCGUCCAUGUCUUGUGAACAGUAUUGAGAGCACGGUCGGAGAGAGAGUUUAGUUAACGGUGAUGCAACGUCGCAUUCAAUGCGAUGUCGUGUUUCUUGCAACUACAGCUCUCCCUCCGGCCGACACUAAACUUCAACUUACAGCCUAGUUAUUCAAACUAAAACAACUUUUAGCAAUGGAUCUCUUGGCUCUC